GCCCGUGUCGUAUAGUGGUUAUUAUAUCUGUCUUGUAAACAGAGGGUCCUCAGUUCGAUUCUGAGCUCGGGCA